UCGAGAAUCUUUAGCAAUGGGCGAAAGCCUGACUAUGCGACGCCGCGUGAGGGAUGAAGGUCUUCGGAUUGUAAACCUCUUUCGAUGGGGAAGAAGUGCCGAGCAUUCGGCAUUGACGGUACCUAGAGAAGAAGCCACGGCCAACUCCGUGCCAGCAGCCGCGGUAAUACGGAGGUGGCGAGCGUUACUCGGAUUCAUUGGGUGUAAAGGGCAGGUAGGUGUUUCGCUAAGUUAGAAGUGAAAUCCUUUGGCUCAACCAGAGAACUGCUUCUAAAACUGGCGAAAUUGAGGCUAAAAGAGGAGAGCGGAAUUCCCGGUGUAAGGGUGAAAUCUGUAGAUAUCGGGAGGAACACCAGUGGCGAAAGCGGCUCUCUGGUUUAGUCCUGACGCUGAGCUGCGA
rnacentral:rRNA from 1 species